rnacentral:rRNA from 1 species
UACAGAGGUCCCAAGCGUUACUGAGAAUCACUGGGUUUAAAGGGUGCGUAGGUGGUCCGUUAAGUUCGUUGUGAAAUCCCCGGGCUCAACCCGGGAACUGCUUCGAAUACUGGCGGACUUGAGGCCGGUAUGGGUCACUGGAACAGACGGUGGAGCGGUGAAAUGCGUAGAUAUCGUCUGGAACGCCUGUGGUGAAGACGGGUGACUGGGCCGGUUCUGACACUGAGGCACGAAAGCGUGGGGAGCGAACGGG